GACGUGAGCCACCAUGCCCGGCCAAAGCCAGGCCCUGGGGAAGCUUUUCCUGAGGACAAGGAUGCUAAAGAGUAUUCCAGAAUAAGCUGGAGGAUGCCACCUGCCUGUCAGCCUACAGCAAGCCAGACCCAGCAAGAGCUAGAGCCUCGGGCACCAACCUCCGUGGCCCCAGCAGCCCUUGGGCAGCCCACCCAAGGCAGUGCUCACCAGUCCUUGUAGAAUCGGCGCCGGCACUCAUCACUAAGAUGUUCUGCAAAGAUGGUCUUGAAGCUCCGGAGACCUCGAGGGGUGGCCACGUAGCCCACAACGCCCACCACCACCAGGGGUGGCGUCUCCACAAUUGUCACCGCCUCCACCUCCUCCCGUUUGGAAAUUUCUGGAUGAGAUGCAGGGAUGGGGCAUGAAAGGGGACCUCCUGAAGCCCAUGGGGGGGGGAGUGAAAAGCUGGGCUCACAGGGGUAGGCCAGGAGAGCGUGGGGCCAGCCAGGGCAGCAUUCCCCCAGAGGGUGGAGCUAAGACCAAAUGAGCGUUUGUUAGUUUCAUAAUUACAAUGGAUUUUUUUUUUUCUU